GAGUUUGAUCCUGGCUCGGAUUGAACACUGGCGGCAUGCCUUACACAUGCAAGUCGAACGGCAGCACGGGAGCUUGCUCCUGGUGGCGAGUGGCGAACGGGUGAGUAAUGCAUCGGAACGUAUCCUGGAGUGGGGGAUAACGUAGCGAAAGUUACGCUAAUACCGCAUAUUCUGUGAGCAGGAAAGCGGGGGACCUUCGGGCCUCGCGCUCUUGGAGCGGCCGAUGUCGGAUUAGCUAGUUGGUGAGGUAAAGGCUCACCAAGGCGACGAUCCGUAGCAGGUCUGAGAGGAUGAUCUGCCACACUGGAACUGAGACACGGUCCAGACUCCUACGGGAGGCAGCAGUGGGGAAUUUUUGGACAAUGGGGGCAACCCUGAUCCAGCCAUGCCGCGUGAGUGAAGAAGGCCUCGGUUGUAAG
rnacentral:rRNA from 1 species